rnacentral:rRNA from 1 species
GUCGCUCCUACCGAUUGAGUGUUCCGGUGAAUAAUUCGGACUGCAGCAGUGUUCGGCAACGAGUACUGCAGCGGAAAGUUUAGUGAACCUUAACACUUAGAGGAAGGAG